UUAACACAUGCAAGUCGAACGGUAACAGGAGAAGCUUGCUUCUUGCUGACGAGUGGCGCACGGGUGAGUAAUGCAUAGGUAACGUGCCCCUUAGUCUAGGAUAGCCACUGGAAACGGUGAUUAAUACUGGAUACUCCUUCUUCCUUAAUGGAAGUUGGGAAAGUUUUUCGCUAAGGGAUCGGCCUAUGUUGUAUCAGGUAGUUGGUGAGGUAAUGGCUCACCAAGCCUAUGACACAUAGCGGGUCUGAGAGGAUGAUCCGCCACACUGGUACUGAGACACGGACCAGACUCCUACGGGAGGCAGCAGUGGGGAAUAUUGCACAAUGGACGAAAGUCUGAUGCAGCAACGCCGCGUGGAGGAUGACACAUUUCGGUGCGUAAACUCCUUUUAUAUGAGAAGAUAAUGACGGUAUCAUAUGAAUAAGCACCGGCUAACUCCGUGCCAGCAGCCGCGGUAAUACGGAGGGUGCAAGCGUUAUUCGGAAUCACUGGGCGUAAAGGGUGCGUAGGCGGUUUGAUAAGUCUGAUGUGAAAUCCUAUGGCUCAACCAUAGAACUGCAUUGGAAACUGUCAAACUAGAAUACUGAAGGGGCAGAUGGAAUUAGUGGUGUAGGGGUAAAAUCCGUAGAUAUCACUAGGAAUACCGAAAGCGAAAGCGAUCUGCUGGGAAGUUAUUGACGCUGAGGCACGAAAGCGUGGGGAGCAAACGGGAUUAGAUACCCCGGUAGUCCACGCCCUAAACGAUGAAUGCUAGUCGUCGGAAAGCUCGUCUUUUCGGUGAUGCAGUUAACACAUUAAGCAUUCC
rnacentral:rRNA from 1 species